UAGCCUGGUUCUAGACAUGGAUUGGUGGCCUCACUACCCUGACACCACACAGUGGAGGGUCUUUUUUCUUCUGCUGGUGCUCAGCACUAAUUGCGUAUGGGGGAAUAACACAGUAUCAAGUGACUUCAGAUCUCACAAUGCUACAUUUUUGCCACUAGGGGCCUGACAUCGCUGCCAUCGUGGCCCCCACCGUCACGUUGGGCCUCCUGGCCGUGGCGGCGGCCGUGGCAGCCUGGCUACUGUGCGUGGUGAAGAAGAAGCGGCAAACGGAAGGCGC